AUCCUGGCUCAGGAUGAACGCUAGCUACAGGCUUAACACAUGCAAGUCAGGGGCAGCAUGAGAUUAGCUGCUAAUCUGAUGGCGACCGGCGCACGGGUGAGUAACGCGUAUCCAACUUCCCCCUACUCAGGCAUAGCCCGGUGAAACCGGAUUAAUCCUGAUAGUUUCACUAGAUGGCAUCUGACGGUGAAUAAAGCUCAGCGGUAAGGGAUGGGGAUGCGUCUGAUUAGCUUGUUGGCGGGUAACGGCCACCAAGGCGACGAUCAGUAGGGGUUCUGAGAGGAAGGUCCCCCACAUUGGAACUGAGACACGGUCCAAACUCCUACGGGAGGCAGCAGUGAGGAAUAUUGGUCAAUGGGCGCGAGCCUGAACCAGCCAAGUAGCGUGCAAGGAAGACGGCCCUAUGGGUUGUAAACUGCUUUUGUGCGGGAAUAAAGUCAGGGACGUGUCCCUGUUUGCAUGUACCGCAAGAAUAAGGACCGGCUAAUUCCGUGCCAGCAGCAGC
rnacentral:rRNA from 1 species